rnacentral:rRNA from 1 species
UACGAAGGGGGCGAGCGUUGUUCGGAAUUACUGGGCGUAAAGGGCGCGUAGGCGGCCGAUCAAGUCAGAUGUGAAAGUCCUGGGCUUAACCUGGGGACUGCAUUUGAUACUGAUUGGCUUGAAUGCAGGAGAGGAUAGCGGAAUUCCCAGUGUAGAGGUGAAAUUCGUAGAUAUUGGGAAGAACACCGGUGGCGAAGGCGGCUAUCUGGAACGCAACUGACGCGUGAGACGCGAAAGCGUGGGGAGCAAACAGG